AGAGUUUGAUCAUGGCUCAGGAUGAACGCUGGCGGCGUGGCUAAGACAUGCAAGUCGAACGGACCAGUAAUUUAUUAUUGGUUAGUGGCGUAAGGGUUAGUAAUGGAUAGGUAACGUACCCCGGGCACCGGGACAGCGUCAGUAGCUUCGGCUACUUUCCGAAAGGGGCGGUAAUACCGGAUAACAUCCGUCACCGAUAGGUGACGGAUCAAAUGAUUUAUCGGCCUGGGAGCGGCCUAUCUCCUAUCAGCUUGUUGGCGGGGUAAAUGCCCACCAAGGCUAAGACGGGUAGCGGGACUGAGAGGUUGGCCCGCAACAUCGGGACUGAGACACUGCCCGGACCUCCACGGAGGGCUGCAGUAACGAAUAUUGCGCAAUGGGCGAAAGCCUGACGCAGCGACGCCGCGUGCGGGAGGAAGUCCUUUGGGAUGUAAACCGCUUUUAGGGGUUAGAAAGUGCACUUCGGUGGAUUGAUCAGCCCCGGAAAAAGUCACGGCUAACUUCGUGCCAGCAGCCGCGGUAAGACGAAGGUGGCGAGCGUUGUUCGGUGUCACUGGGCUUAAAGCGUGUGUAGGCGGAAGCGUAAGCGUCAUGUGAAAUCCCUCGGCUUAACCGAGGAAUUGCUUGGCGAACUGCGUUUCUUGAGGCAGGUAGGGGUCAGUGGAACUGUUGGUGGAG
rnacentral:rRNA from 1 species